CAAUAGCGUAUAUUAAAGUUGUUGCGGUUAAAAAGUUCGUAGUUGGAUUUCUGUAAGGAGAGACCCUGCGGCCUUCGUGCCGAUGUGUGGUCUGCUCUUUGCAUAAUUCUAGUGACACGCAGGUUCGCCCUGUGUGAUCUCUGGGAACGUUACUUUGAGGAAAUUAGAGUGUUCCAGGCAGGCAUAAGCUAUGAAUAUAGUAGCAUGGAAUAACAAUAUAUGGCCUCGGCUGUAUUUUGUUGGUUUCUAUGGCCGAAGCAAUGAUUAAUAGGGACAGUCGGGGGCAUUCGUAUUCAACUGUCAGAGGUGAAAUUCUUGGAUUAGUUGAAGACGAACUACUGCGAAAGCAUCUGCCCAGGAUGCCUUCUUUGA
rnacentral:rRNA from 1 species